AGCGUGUGUGUAGAACGUUGAGUGGUUACAUUGUAGCUCUCGCAGAAUGAGCGUUUCGGAACGUUUCACUGUUUUACUGUAACAGUGCAGAAGUGAGCAGAGCAGAUCCGGUGUAAAUAUUCAACAAAUGAUAGAGGAGGAGUCGGUGCACGACAUUAAAAGGGAUGUGAACCGAGAGCAAAGAGCUUCGGACUCGGUUUAAAGCGCGCGCUCACUGUGUUCUCCUCAGUUUGCUGGAAGUCCUGCUGCUUUAUUAUGAAGAGUGAUCUCUCGUAACAGGAUUUGGGCAUUAUCGAUCGGAUUAUGAGUGAUCAUCCAUGCAAAAUCACGCGAGAUUGACUUAGUUUCAGAUUUUAAGGGGAUUUAUUUCUGUUCUUCUCUUCCACCCGUUCGGAGGCAUAUAGGAUGCACCCAGAAAGCAAUGAGAACACUGCUAGAGCAGCCAGCGGGACACCCGAUUCGGAAGAAUUGACCACUGAACCGCAGGCUGGACAUACUGAACAUCUUGCAGUGGAGCAUAAAGAGACGCAGGAGUAUGAGGAACCGGAGGGUAAGCUCGCCCCGGAGGACAGCACGAUGCAGCUGAUACAAACCGGCUGCCCCGACAAGCGUCCGGCGACGCCGCCCGGCGCACACCCGGGACCGGGGUUUGUUCCACCGGAGGGGGGCUUCGGCUGGGUCGUGGUGUUCGCUGCAACGUGGUGCAACGGCUCGAUUUUCGGCAUCCAGAACUCAUUCGGGAUUCUGCACAUGAUGCUGGUGAAAGACCAUCAGGAACUGACGGACCAGGCGUCUCAGUUUAAAGUGGCAUGGGUUGGUGCUUUGGCGAUGGGGAUGAUAUUCUUCUGCUCUCCGGUGGUCAGUAUGUUCACCGAUCACUUCGGAUGCCGGAAGACGGCCGUCUGCGGAGCGUUUGUGGCCAGCCUCGGUCUUCUCACCAGUUCCUUUGCAACGACUCUGGGUCUUCGAUACUUCACAUACGGGAUAUUGUUUGGCUGCGGAUCCUCGUUUGCAUUCCAGCCAUCUCUGGUGAUCCUGGGGCAUUAUUUCCGACAGAGACUGGGUUUGGCCAACGGCGUGGUGACGGCAGGCAGCAGCCUCUUUUCUAUGGGGCUCCCCGUGCUGCUCAAGAAAGUGGUGGGACCGCUGGGCCUCUCCAGAACCUUCCAGAUCCUCAGCAUCUUCAUGCUGGUCCAGUCGCUGCUGGCCCUCACCUUCAAACCGCUCAUGCCCAGUGGGAUGUGCCCGAUGCCAGGCAUGGGACUGGACGGAGGCCCCCCGUCUGGCCUGGAGUCAGCGAGCAGGUGGCAGAAGGGCCUGGCCAAAAUCAGGAAGUACUUUAACGUGCGAGUGUUUGGUGUGCUGACCUAUCGGGUUUGGGCAUUCGGUGUCGCCACAGCAGUGCUGGGAUACUUUGUUCCCUAUGUGCAUCUGAUGAACUUUGUGAAGGAGCAGUUUGGAGACACUCAGAGGGAAUGGGUGCUGCUCGUGUGUAUCGGAGCGUCGUCUGGAGUCGGUCGACUGCUGUUUGGGAAGAUCGGAGAUCUCAUACCUGGAGUAAAGAAAAUCUACAUGCAGGUGGCAUCGUUCAUAUUACUGGGUCUGAUGUCAAUGAUGAUACCUAACUGCGCCAAGUUCGAAGGUCUAGUGGUGGUUUUCAUACUGAUGGGUCUUUGUGAUGGCUGUUUCAUCACUAUCAUGGCCCCCAUCGCCUUCGAUUUAGUAGGGCCCAUGCAGGCGUCUCAAGCUAUUGGCUACCUCCUCGGCCUCAUGGCUAUACCAAUGACAGCGGGACCCCCGAUCGCAGGACUUCUUCACGACUAUUUUGGAAACUAUCAUGUGGCGUUUUAUCUGGCUGGUGUUCCUCCAAUAGUGGGGGGUAUUGUGAUGUUUUUUGUACCUCUGGUGCACCAGCGCAUGCAGCGACGACUAAAGGAGGCCAACGAUCCCAGCAUGGACAAGAUGUUGAAGAACUGCUCUAAUGGAGACAUGCUGCCCGGAUACACAGACAUGGAGACACACAUAUGAAGCCCACAGCCUCACAAAGUUAAUUUGGGACCCUGACUGUGGACAUCUACCGGAUUUAUCUCACCAGCGCUGCUUGUGAGUGUGUGUCAGGAUGGUGUGUGAUGUAUUUCCUCUUUGCUUGGCUCUAAUCAAACUCGAGGUCUCAAGGCUUUCCCCCCUGCUUGUUUGCUGUUCUGGAGAGGAGACGUGAUCAUCCAUCAAGAUCCCAAACCCUCCUCCUGUGGCCUGCGCUGCCAUUUCCACCGGCUCACGAGUGAUUGAACAACUUCUGCAUGCGGAUUUGGGAGAAUUUCCGUUUCUCACAAAAAUCUGAUCGGACGGCUCAGGUAGCGCAGGAGCCGUCAGUUAAAUUAGGACAGCAAACGUUUUAGCACCUUUAUAAAGGAAACAUUAAUUUGAUGUGAGAGAGUAGCAUUUCCAGCACAGAGAAAAGUGCUGUUUUCAUUGAGCUUAAUAGUUUAUUGUCUAGAUUAUGCAAAUCAGAUCUGUAAUCUUAGGUGUUUUAAUAAUACGAUUAAAAAAAAAAAAGUCCUCCGGAGAUUUCGGAAACUUUUAAGAGACAAAUCCUUCUUCUUGCACUUUCUGCUGCUGACUUUGAUAACCUCGGCCAUGAUUUUCUUAUCAUAACGUACCGCAGCCGUGCAUCGAUUACGAAUUAUGUAGAAAUGAAAACUAAACGAGGAAUCAUUUUUAUGAAUUUCUUUUAAAAAGCUAAUCCUUUGUCCUUAAUAAGAUCCGCUAAAUUUAGUUCAGUAAUUUUCAGCUAUGCAUUAAGGAGUUCACAAACCGUGCCAUGACCAUU